GAUGAAGAACGCAGCGAAAUGCGAUAAGUAAUGUGAAUUGCAGAAUUCAGUGAAUCAUCGAAUCUUUGAACGCACAUUGCGCCCGGCAGUACUCUGCCGGGCAUGCCUGUUCGAGCGUCAUUUCAACCCUCAAGCCCUGCUUGGUGUUGGGGUCCCACGGCCGCCGUGGGCCCUGAAAGGAAGUGGCGGGCUCGCUACAACUCCGAGCGUAGUAAUUCAUUAUCUCGCUUAGGGCGUUGGGCGGCGCUCCUGCCGUUAAAGAACCAUCUGUAACUCAAGGUUGACCUCGGAUCAGGUAGGAAUACCCGCUGAACUUAAGCAUAUCAAUAAGCGGAGGA
rnacentral:misc_RNA from 1 species